AAGACUAUACUUUCAGGGAUCAUUUCUAUAGUGUGAAACUAGAGAAGUGGACUCGAAAGUGAUCGGUCGAGCGAACCACGAGGACGAGGCAUAGUGUUCUCUUCUGAGCGCGAAGCGAGUCGUGGGUUUUGCAGUUAUUGCAAUCGCCCAUGGCUAUUGAUGACCGUUCCGCUUCCCUCUUUGUGGGGAAGUUGGAGGGAGAGAACACAGGCUGAGUGGUU
ensembl:snoRNA